rnacentral:tRNA from 1 species
GACAGGAUGGCUGAGUGGUCCAAGGCGCUGCGAUCAGGUCGCAGUCUCCUCUGGAGGCGUGGGUUUGAAUCCCACUUCUGACA